rnacentral:lncRNA from 1 species
GGUGCCAGGGGCGGGGGGUGAGCAGCUCAGACCUUGGUCUGUGGGAGCCCUAGGAGGGCACCGUGUUAAGUCUGGAGGCUCUGCCGGAGAGGGCAGCCUGGGGGGAAGAGGUGUGCUACUGGUGGAUGACAUCACGGCAGAGGUGGAAGUGGUGGCCAAGGAGGAGGCCGACGUGGAGCAGCAGCAGGAGGACCACUGGGCAGAACCUGUCCCUGGCCCCAGGAGGCCCCGGCCCGCAACGGACUCGCUGGAGGUCCAUCAUUUGCAGCUGGGCUCUGUAAAUGCCCUUCUUUCUCCCUCUUGGCCAGGGAGGUGGAGGAACUCAGCCACCCCGGGUACCGGCAUCAGGAUGAAGUUUUCCUUUUGUCACAAUCUUUACUUCCACAAUGAAGUGGUCAUUCAGGAGUACUGUGUUGGCAUCCUCGAAACUGGGUGUCUCAUUCCACUGCAGUCCAGUGGUUGUGGGAUCAUGAAGGUUAAGCCUCCAGCUUCAGGCAGUGCACCUCCAUGUGACCUUCUUCAGCUAGUUGGCUGACCAUGGCUACCCAGGUCCCGGCAGGAUUGCUGAGUCCCCCAAUCAUCAGCCAGGGCCUGUGGCUCAAUCCCCUGCAGUACUUCCUGAGGG